rnacentral:rRNA from 1 species
GACAGAGGUGCCAAGCGUUAGGCGGAAUCACUGGGCUUAAAGCGCGUGUAGGCGGACUUGUAAGUACCUUGUGAAAUCCCACGGCUCACCCGUGGAACUGCUGGGUAUACUGCGAGUCUUGAGCCACUUAGGGGCUGUCGGAACAGGCGGUGGAGCGGUGAAAUGCGUAGAUAUCGCCUGGAACGCCAAAGGUGAAAACAGACAGCUGGGAGUGUGCUGACGCUGAGACACGAAAGCCAGGGGAGCGAACGGG